AUGAACGCUAGCUACAGGCUUAACACAUGCAAGUCGAGGGGCAGCAUGGUCUUAGCUUGCUAAGGCCGAUGGCGACCGGCGCACGGGUGAGUAACACGUAUCCAACCUGCCGUCUACUCUUGGACAGCCUUCUGAAAGGAAGAUUAAUACAAGAUGGCAUCAUGAGUCCACAUGUUCACAUGAUUAAAGGUAUUCCGGUAGACGAUGGGGAUGCGUUCCAUUAGAUAGUAGGCGGGGUAACGGCCCACCUAGUCUUCGAUGGAUAGGGGUUCUGAGAGGAAGGUCCCCCACAUUGGAACUGAGACACGGUCCAAACUCCUACGGGAGGCAGCAGUGAGGAAUAUUGGUCAAUGGGCGAGAGCCUGAACCAGCCAAGUAGCGUGAAGGAUGACUGCCCUAUGGGUUGUAAACUUCUUUUAUAAAGGAAUAAAGUCGGGUAUGGAUACCCGUUUGCAUGUACUUUAUGAAUAAGGAUCGGCUAACUCCGUGCCAGCAGCCGCGGUAAUACGGAGGAUCCGAGCGUUAUCCGGAUUUAUUGGGUUUAAAGGGAGCGUAGAUGGAUGUUUAAGUCAGUUGUGAAAGUUUGCGGCUCAACCGUAAAAUUGCAGUUGAUACUGGAUAUCUUGAGUGCAGUUGAGGCAGGCGGAAUUCGUGGUGUAGCGGUGAAAUGCUUAGAUAUCACGAAGAACUCCGAUUGCGAAGGCAGCCUGCUAAGCUGCAACUGACAUUGAGGCUCGAAAGUGUGGGUAUCAAACAGGAUUAGAUACCCUGGUAGUCCACGCCGUAAACGAUGAAUACUAGGUGUCGGGUGGCAGAGCCAUUCGGUGCCGUCGCAAACGCAGUAAGUAUUCCACCUGGGGAGUACGUUCGCAAGAAUGAAACUCAAAGGAAUUGACGGGGGCCCGCACAAGCGGAGGAACAUGUGGUUUAAUUCGAUGAUACGCGAGGAACCUUACCCGGGCUUAAAUUGCAGAUGAAUUACGGUGAAAGCCGUAAGCCGCAAGGCAUCUGUGAAGGUGCUGCAUGGUUGUCGUCAGCUCGUGCCGUGAGGUGUCGGCUUAAGUGCCAUAACGAGCGCAACCCUUGUUGUCAGUUACUAACAGGUUCCGCUGAGGACUCUGACAAGACUGCCAUCGUAAGAUGUGAGGAAGGUGGGGAUGACGUCAAAUCAGCACGGCCCUUACGUCCGGGGCUACACACGUGUUACAAUGGGGGGUACAGAGGGCCGCUACCACGCGAGUGGAUGCCAAUCCCAAAAACCUCUCUCAGUUCGGACUGGAGUCUGCAACCCGACUCCACGAAGCUGGAUUCGCUAGUAAUCGCGCAUCAGCCACGGCGCGGUGAAUACGUUCCCGGGCCUUGUACACACCGCCCGUCAAGCCAUGGGAGCCGGGGGUACCUGAAGUGCGUAACCGCGAGGAGCGCCCUAGGGUAAAACUGGUGACUGGGGCU
rnacentral:rRNA from 1 species